rnacentral:rRNA from 1 species
UACGUAGGGGGCUAGCGUUGUCCGGAUUUAUUGGGCGUAAAGAGCUCGUAGGCGGUUUGUCGCGUCUGCUGUGAAAACUGGGGGCUCAACCCCCAGCCUGCAGUGGGUACGGGCAGACUAGAGUGCGGUAGGGGAGAUUGGAAUUCCUGGUGUAGCGGUGGAAUGCGCAGAUAUCAGGAGGAACACCGAUGGCGAAGGCAGAUCUCUGGGCCGUAACUGACGCUGAGGAGCGAAAGCAUGGGGAGCGAACAGG